CUGGUUUUAUUUGAGUGGAACAGCGAUCUUGGCAAUAAAUUUCUAAGCUAUAUUCACUUGUGAUAUAAACACAGGGUGGAAAGGGGACCCUGGCAGUGACAUCCCAGCUACUUGCAGAUAGACUGUCACAGCUAUAAUCACUGCUUUACAGGAGAGAAAGUCUCCAGAGCUAGAACCACUGCAGAAAUCUAUAACCACCAAGGACUGGUCCGGUGGAAGAGGGUCUCAGAGGCCUUAAGUGCUCCAAGGUCCCUGGUAGCAGGAAGGAAGCAGACCUCGCUAAGCUACUCAGUCAGAGUAUGGGAGCCCCAUCUCAAUGUCCAUCUCCAGAUGGUUCCCAUUCUAAUGGAGAAGGAGAAGGUCUUCUCAAUUCAUUUAGCAUUUUAGGAAUUUUACUCCAGAUAUAGUCUCUAGAAUGAG